CCCUUAGAUGUUCUGGGCCGCACGCGCGCUACACUGACGAUGGCAACGAGUUUUUCCUUCGCCGAAAGGUGUGGGUAAUCUUUUGAAACAUCGUCGUGCUGGGGAUAGAUCAUUGCAAUUUUUGAUCUUGAACGAGGAAUUCCUAGUAAGCGCGAGUCAUCAGCUCGCGUUGAUUACGUCCCUGCCCUUUGUACACACCGCCCGUCGCUACUACCGAUUGAAUGGUGUAGUGAGGACUCCUGAUUGGCGCCGCCGCCCCGGCAACGGAGCAGCGGACUGCCGAAAAGUUGUUCAAACUUGAUCAUUUAGAGGAAGUAAAAGUCGUAACA
rnacentral:rRNA from 1 species